CCUACGGGUGGCAGCAGUCGAGAAUCAUGCACAAUGGGGGAAACCCUGAUGGGGCGACGCCGCGUGGGGGAAUGAAGGUCUACGGAUUGUAAACCCCUGUCAUGUGGGAGCAAAUUAAAAAGAUAGUACCACAAGAGGAAGAGACGGCUAACUCUGUGCCAGAAGCCGCGGUAAUACAGGGGUCUCAAGCGUUGUUCGGAAGCACUGGGCGUAAAGGGUGCGUAGGCUGUUUCGUAAGUCGUGUGUGAAAGGCGCGGGCUCAACCCGUGGACGGCACCUGAUACUGCGAGACUAGAGUAAUGGAGGGGGAACCGGAAUUCUCGGUGUAGCCGUGAAAUGCGUAGAUAUCGAGAGGAACACUCGUGGCGAAGGCGGGUUCCUGGACAUUAACUGACGCUGAGGCACGAAGGCCAGGGGAGCGAAAGGGAUUAGAUACCCUUGUAGUC
rnacentral:rRNA from 1 species